AUUGAACGCUGGCGGCAGGCCUAACACAUGCAAGUCGAGCGGUAGAAGGGCUUCGGCUCCUGGAGAGAGGCGCACGGGUGCGUGAAACGUCUGGAAAUAUCCCUGGUAGGGGGGUAAAACAUCCGAAAACGGGCUCAAAUACCGCAUACGUCGUGAGUGAGAGCGGGGGGGAUCGUCGCACCUGUUGGUAUCAGAUGAGCCGAGGUCGGAUUAGCUAGUUGGUGGGGUAAAGGCCUACCAAGGCAACGAUCCGUAGCUGGUCUGAGAGGAUGAUCAGUCACACUGGAACUGAGACACGGCCCAGACUCCUACGGGAGGCAGCAGUGGGGAAUUUUGGACAAUGGGCGAAAGCCUGAUCCAGCCAUGCCGCGUGCGGGAAGAAGGCCUUCGGAUUGUAAAGCACUUUUAGUUGGGAGGAAGGGUAGUCCGCUAAUACCGUGCGCUUUUGACGUUACCAACAGAAUAAGCACCGGCUAACUUCGUG
rnacentral:rRNA from 1 species